CACACCGCCCGUCGCACCAUGGGAGUCAGUUGCUCCAGAAGUGGCCUAGCUAACCGCAAGGAGGCAGGUCCCUAAGGAGUGACUGGUAACUGGGGUG
rnacentral:rRNA from 1 species